rnacentral:rRNA from 1 species
UUUAAAUCCCUUAACAAGUAACAAUUAGAGGGCAAGUCUGGUGCCAGCAGCCGCGGUAAUUCCAGCUCUAAUAGCGUAUAUUAAUAUUGUUGCAGUUAAAAGCUCGUAGUUGAAAUUUGGGACUUUAUUAUAUUGGUUUAUCUUAUGAUGAACUGUAUAAUGGGUUUCUUCCUACUAGAGUUCGAUUCUGUUCUUAAUUGAAUGGAGUAGCUAUCUCUCGGGGUGGUCAAUUGGUUGUUAUAUCUCCACUAAUAAGCAGAGAGGGGUAAAACUCUCAAAGUAAGUUAUGUGGGUCAAGGUAUGAUGAUUAAUUGGAGUUCUAGUUCAUUUACUUUGAGAAAAUUAGAGUGUUUAAAGCAGCCUCUUGGGGCACUGAAUACAUUAGCAUGGGAUAAUAAAAUAGGAUCUUCACAAUAUAUUUUAUUGGUUUAAAUUGGAUAUGAAGAUAAUGAU